rnacentral:rRNA from 1 species
ACGGGAGGCAGCAGUGGGGAAUAUUGCACAAUGGGGGAAACCCUGAUGCAGCGAUGCCGCGUGAAGGAUGAAGGGUUUCGGCUCGUAAACUUUUAUCGAUAGUGAAGAAACAAAUGACGGUAACUAAGUAAGAAGCUCCGGCUAACUAUGUGCCAGCAGCCGCGGUAAUACAUAGGGAGCAAGCGUUAUCCGGAUUUACUGGGUGUAAAGGGCGCGUAGGCGGGGAUGCAAGUCAGAUGUGAAAUCUAUGGGCUUAACCCAUAAACUGCAUUUGAAACUGUAUUUCUUGAGUGCUGGAGAGGUAGAUGGAAUUCCUUGUGUAGCGGUGAAAUGCAUAGAUAUAAGGAAGAACACCAGUGGCGAAGGCGAUCUACUGGACAGUAACUGACGCUGAGGCGCGAAAGCGUGGGGAGCAAACAGGAUUAGAUACCCUGGUA